AUUGAACGCUGGCGGCAGGCCUAACACAUGCAAGUCGAGCGAGCGGCGGACGGGUGAGUAAUGUCUGGGAAACUGCCUGAUGUAGGGGGAUAACUACUGGAAACGGUAGCUAAUACCGCAUACCAUCAGAUGUGCCCAGAUGGGAUUAGCUAGUAGGGGGGGUAACGGCUCACCUAGGCGACGAUCCCUAGCGGGUCUGAGAGGGUGACCAGCAACACUGGAACUGAGACACGGUCAAGACUCCUACGGGAGGAAGAAGGGGGGAAUAUUGCACAAUGGGCGCAAGCCGGAGGCAGCCAGGCCGCGUGUGGGAAGAAGGCCUUCGGGUUGUAAAGCACUUUCAGCGGGGAGGCGUGACCCGCAGAAGAAGCACCGGCUAACUCCGUGCCAGCAGCCGCGGUAAUA
rnacentral:rRNA from 1 species